CGUCGCAUGUUCGAACUACUUAUUUUCAGGGGUGAAAUUCAGGAGUGAAAUUAUAUAAAUAAAGUCACUAAUAUCACCAUUGCAAAGCCAAACUAAAAAGGAUAAAUACUGUACCAGUGGAAGAAGUAAAGAUGAGGGCCACAACUUUAAGAACCCAGUACUCCAAGCUUCUGAAAGCCAAAUCCAGUGGGAGUGGGGAAAAGCCACUCACAAGCAAGCAAAAGUGGCUGCUGCAGUCACUGAUGUUUUUGAGGAAAUAUGUCAUCCAACGCGCCUCUGAAAGCAGUCUUCAUCAGUCAAUUAAAGAUGCCCUAGCUGCAGUGAAUGACCCCACCAGUGAUCCAGAUGAUGACGCAUCUCAGAUGUCUGAGGACAUGAAUGCGGAGCUGUCAGCAACUGUGUGUCAGCCAUCUACUUUGCAGACUGAUAAUGAACUGUCUUCUCCUACACCACCCAACCUUACACAAAAGCGAAAGAAAAGCCAAUCUACUGAUUCCAUUGAAUUGGAGAAACUAAAGGUUUUGCAGGUAAUGUCUACUGCUUAGAAGCAGGCCAGCUGCUGAUAGUGACAGCACCUUUGGGGCUGAGGAGUUGAGGUUGAUCAAAAAUACUCUGAUAAAGACUAGAGUUAAGAGAAAUAAUAUGAAUGCUUUAUAUGAGGCUCGGGAGUGUGAUCACCCUGAUGUAUUGCCAUCUACCCAAUACCAGAUGCCACUUGUAUAUCCUCCACUCCCCACAGUACAGAUGCCCCCCUCACAGCCGUCCCCUUUUCUCGCAUUCACACCUAGACAAGCACAUCACCACAUGUCUCCACCAUCUCAUACUACUCUACACAAGUGCUUUAGAAUCAGUACCAGCUGCCUCAAAAUAAUGAUCAAGAGUAACUUUUGGCAAGAAAACAAUGGUGAUGAAUGGGCACAGUAGACUGUGCAUAGCACAUAUAUAUUUAGAUUAUCAGCCAGUCUGUUUUCUGAUAGCUUGAUUGUCCAUAUUUAGGUUUAAACUAACCACUGUUGUGGCAGAGAAAAAGGCUCCAAAACACUAGAAUUUCUGUUUUUUGAUGAACCUGUGACUGUUCAGUCAUGUUGUGUACCAGUGUAAACCUUGUAUUUCUACUGUUUUUGUAUAUAUAUAUUUAAGUUUGAGCCUGUUUUUAUUUCAAGAUUUUAAAUUGUUUGGAUAAAAUUGUAUAUAUGUCAAUUUCAGAAAACAAUUUCAAGGUACAAAGCACUGGAAGAUUUUUUUAUUAUCAUUUAUAUAAAUGAAUGUUUGCAAAGUU